AGACCCGUAGCUCAGCCUGGUUAGAGCCCGCCUCUCAUGAAGGCGUUGUCGAGAGUUCGAAUCCCUCCGGGUCUA
rnacentral:tRNA from 1 species